rnacentral:misc_RNA from 1 species
GCCAUUUCACAUCAUUCCCUUUAGUUUCUUUAUGUGUAGUUGAACAUUUCUCAAGAACUGAGAUCUGUGCCUUCUUUGCUUGUUGAUUCCGAUUCAUCUGUUUGUUUCUAUGCCCUAGAUUUUUAUUUUUGUAAUUUAGUUUCCGUUCCCCACUUUAUUUGUUGUGUUUAGUUUUGGCAUCUGAAUCCAUAGAUCCUUUCAUAUGUAUGAAACACCCCUUACUUUUGUUGAUUAGGGCAAUAAUUUGGUUGUCUUUUUAGUCAUUGUGCCCAGUAACUAAUUCUAUAUCAGAUGUGUUUUAAUUCUGUUAUAUUGAAGAUCAGAUUUUCUCACUUGUUUGGACAAGAGCAUGGUAGUUUAAUUUUUCCCUCUGAAUACUAGUACAGCUACCAUGCCUUUUAGGUUAAGACGUUUGGGAUGUUUGAUA